AUGGAGGGCAUCCGCUUCGGCUGUCAGGUCUGCCUCUGCACAUUUGAGAAGCUCUUUGAAAUGAAGACGCAUAUGUACUCGCGUGCACAUCAACAGACAACCGCAGAUGUCUUCAAGCAAGGUAUUGUUCGGAGAUUGGUCCACUUUCCAUUGAUUGUAUUCGUCGGCCAAUGGCACAAACGAGACUCCAGAAAAACCGUCACCGGCUUGUGUUUGUGUUUCAGUCGAGAGACGAAAGCCUCUUUUUACUUGUGCCAUAUCUGUGAGGAAAAGCGUCCAUCAAAGAAUAUUUUAUUCCACCUCUCGUCUGUGGACCACUGCGUAAACUACUUUAGCUGCAAAAACCCGAAUGUACUGAAUUUCUCCUGGAUCCCCACCAAGUAUGUGGAUAAAAUGUUGAGGCCCCCGAACAGGCAGGAAGUAAAAGAAAGCAGUGGCGGACAACUACAGAUGUUGGACUUGCCUGGAACUCUAUUUAACCAGCUUGAAACGAGUACCUACCAUGAAGUGAUGUGCACUCUCAGUGAAAAUGAAAAGCUACUCCACGGUCUCAAAGCUGUCGAGCCGAAGCGGAUGACUAUACAAAAAUACCAAAGAGAUCCCAACAGAGAACACCCACUUCUUGGAAUGCAGCACCUCGUUGAAAUAGUUUGUGUCGGGCAGCCUGAGAAGAAACACUACCUCUGCACCCUUUGCCACCUAACUUUGACGUCCCACGCGAUCAUCAAACAUGUCCUGAGCUUUGACCACAUCUUUUGCUACUUUAGAGUGUGGCACCCGUCUACUUUGCUGGCAAAGGAAUCCUACAACAAAUACUCCUGGAGCUUUGCCUGCAAGAUGCUGGAUUUUGCAAAGCAGACGGAGCAAAUUCAUGCUACUACAAACGCUGAUAUGAAGCAAGUAAGCCUGGAGGCCGGCAAAUUCACAGCAAUGCGUCUGACUUGUUAUGCAGAUGCUUUGAAGGAACUGGAAUCCAUGAGAAAGGAAAACCAGGAGAGCAGCUUGGUUACAAGCGUUAAACCAAGCGACAAGUUGGUCCACUUUCCAUCGCCUGUAUUCAGUAGUCUGCAGUACAAACCAGGCCCCAGACAAUCAGUCACUCAGUUGAAAUCUGGAUGCUACAAACUACGCUGUCAGAAUUGCAGUGUGGGCUUUGAGAACAUGUCUGUCUAUUGCACACAUUUGUCAGACUACAAGCACAAGCAGAUGCUGAAGAAGUUUUUUGGAGGUGAUGAAUGUUCAGACAAACCAGCACAGAAACCCAGUCUUGGUUUGUACGAGAAAGCCCUCAAGAACCUGAAGGAGAAUCAACCGCUUGUUGGUGUUUCCCUGGUUGUGACGUGUGUCUGCUCGGAGGUCCACAAGGAACCUCUUUAUGUGUGCUUUGCUUGUCAGGAUUGUUUCACAGAGUCUGCUCUCGGGCAACACUUUGACUCUCAGAAACAUCUCGUACACACGUCGCUGUACCAGGAUCCCUGGAGGCUGCCGCUUGCAUGGGAGAACUGUGUGGAUUUGAAAGCCUUAAGAUCAAUUGCAUGGGAAGAGGAAAAGAAUAAACCAGAUCAGAUGACGCUGAAGGUACUUGACUUGCCGAACACGAUGUUUGAGAGACUCGUCGGGAUUAGUUACCAAAAAUUGAUGAAGUGUCUCGAACUACAUCACGUCAUCUUAAAGCGUGAUGUACCACCUUGUGAAACCUACAGUAAGCUCAAAGAAAACGACAGAUUUCCUCUACUAGGCAGACAGUUCCUGGUCAUGCACAACAUUUGUAGCAAAGGACAACCGCCAACUAAGGGAUUCCUGUGCCUGCUCUGUGAGAGGAAGUUGUCAGAUGAAGAAUUUUACGCUCAUGAGUUCAGUCGGAGACACAUUGCAACGUUCAUUGAGCGUUUCCAUCCAGGCUCGCUGGAUUCAAACCCUGAUGAAGAGACUUUCUUGGACUUUGCAAAACAAGCAGCCCGCUAUCACCCCAUAUCACAUGUGCAGGUAAUUCCGUUAAGCCAGCCUGUCAGGGAGACAUGCACCUACUCUGAAGCAUUAUCCAUACUGACAUCUGGAAAUAGGAGAAAUGGGAAAGCAAACCUUAAUCCAAACAUAAACCCCAAAAUGAAGUUGGUCCCCAGACCAAAAAGGAAAGAUGUGGAGGAGGACAACCUGAGGGACAGCAGUCAGAAAAACAGCUGGAUGAAGGAAGCGUAUUUGGAAAAGAGUCCAAAAUCUGCAGAGAACAGUGAGACGACCUUGGAACAGACUGUGGGAGUCGGUGCUGAAGUCACUGAUUCUCUCUGUCCGAAAAGCGGCGCAAAUGGAGACAACAAGGAGACUGUGGCGUCAAGUGGAAAGGAAUUGCUCAAGUUGAAUGAGUUUUCAGGAACAAGUUCAGACAAGGCGAAGCAAAGCGAGACAUGUCAUGCGAUAAAGGAAGAGAAUAUAGAAAAGCCUACAACCAAAGAACCAAGUGGGGAGGCUGUCGAAAACCGGCAGAACAUGGACAUGAACAAAAAAGAGCCGAGCGAAAGCAGCAAAUGUGUCCUGACACAGAAGAGGAAAAUCUCGCAGACGGAUACCUGUCCUGUGGAUGAUGGAGAGCAGGAAACAAGCGAGAAAUGCCAGCGGCUAACCGUGAAAAUAGAACCCCAAAACCUGCUGAGUAGCAGUCAGGAGGAAGGGAACACACCUGACGAGGGAAAAAGUGGAAAACCAAACGAUCAGACUGCAAAUAACAAAGCGUCCUCGGAGGCCGACCUGCAACAAGCGACUCAUCUAUGGCAGUAUGUCAAGCGGAAGUUACGAGAGCCUGUGGUCGGCUUGUGUUCACUUAUCGAAUGCAUUUGUGAUGAGCGUGCCCCCAUCUACCUCUGUGAGUGCUGCUCGCUGCAGAUCCCAGAGAAGGACAUUGUCAGCCAUGUUACUGGGGUAGACCACCAGAGGAUGUAUCUGAAACCUGCACAAGGGAUGCAGCAAGGGAAGACUGUCGGACACCGUGCAGCUUUGUCUGAACAAGAACAUGGAUAUGGAUGCGCUGAGGUUGUUGAGUUGGAUUAUCUAACCUACGAUAAACUUUUUAAACAGGACUUUGAUUCAGCCGUGAGGGAACUAAAAGCAUUUAAGGAUCAGCUGGACAUUCGCUCUUCAACCUCAGCUCCGUCCAGUGUUCAACCUGGGGGCACCUCGGUCCCCCUUCACGCUCCGCUGUGUUCUACGGAGAACGACCCCCAGGUGUUGGGGAUUGAUGAUUCAGGAGACUCUUCAGUAACUACAUUAAUGUCCACAAUGACUGAAACCCCCUCCAAUACAACCCAAGCCCCCCCUGAAUCAAAUGAUGCCCAAAUCAAAGCGUCAAACUCACCUGGUCACUCGGCAAACCCCUUUACCAGCCGCAUUGAGGGCAAAGCUGAAAUCGUUUCAAACACAAAUGUGGGGCCGCUAAAAAUAUCCACCACUUACGAAAAGGUGUGGAGAUCUGAAAAUGCAGCGACUUCAAACUCUGGUGCAAUCACCCCCGUUACCGCCACGGCGCCCAUCUCCACGCUGACGACCAAGUCUUCAAAUUCCACCCCGGACGCCUCCAAAUCAACAGCACCCGCCUGCAAACUCUAUGCCGCCCUCUCCAGCGCCACUACAGCCGACACCCAAUCCAGAGAAGCUCCAAAACGUAGAGCAACAAUCUCCACCUCGCCUGCAGCCACCUCAGAGUUGUCGUCCAAAACGCAGAGCAGGAGUAGAGCUGCAACCGUAGUCAGAGCGGCUUCGUGCGAGUUUGCCUCCUCCUCCAAAACCGAAUCCACGACGGCGCUUGAAGCCACCUGCAGAACUCUUCUGACAUCCGUUGCCGCUGGUAAAACGACCGAGGCGUCGUUCAGAUAUGAGAAGAGGCUAAGCGCAAACGCUCUCACAGUUGGCUUGAACCAGCUGAUUAAGGUGUCGUGUGGACAGAAGAAGCAGGUCUACUGUCGGCUGUGUUCGGUCAGGCUGCUGAAGUCCGAUCACACGUGCAGCGCCGCCCACCAGCUUAAAUAUGUGAAAAUGAAGUUCCCUCAAUGGUCCUGCAAGCCGUCAGAGCUGCAAAACGAAUUGCGCGACAAAGUGGCUCAAUUGGCCGAGGACGAGAGAAAAGAAGGAUCCGUCCCCUUCCCGAGACUGCUGGUGACAAUCGACGUGUACAAAGAACUUGCUGAUCUCCCGGCAGAAAUAGCUCUAGAGAGAUUGAAAGCCACGCUGAGAAGAAGCUCGGGGGUCACAUCGCCCACCACGGGCGUCCCUGUACCGGUGUUGAGACUGGAAUUUCCUGGUGCCAGUCAAAGCGAAGCUUCGAGCCCAGUCGAUGACAUCGAAUCCAGAUUGAAAGAAGGAUCAUUCACUCUGCGCCGGUUCAACAGAGCUCAGAGUCUGGAGAGUUCAGAGCCUGAAGCCGAUGACCAGAUUCUAGACCAGCUGCAUUGCAUCUUGAAUAAAAAGGAGCCCAUCGCUAAUCCUCUCAUUCAAGACGUAGCAGCCAAACAUGUGAAUCCUCAAACUCCUGUUGCAAGCAAAGAGGCUCCUGAGUGGCGACAACCGCAGGAGAGAAGUCACGCAGAGACAAGGGAGGUGUUGGAAGGCUCUCAGAAAACAUCACCUGUAAACCCAGUUGUGCUUCCAAAGAUUUCAAUAGGGGAGUGCACUGAAGGCAGCAGUUAUCUGUCGAGUUGGUUGAAGGUGGGCCACGACAAUGAACCAGUCAUAGGUAUGGGCUUUGUGUGGGAGUGUCGCUUUGUGUCGGAGGUUCAGGGGCUGUGCAGGAAGCCGUUCUUCCUGUGUGAGAGCUGCAGUGUGAUGCUGCCGCACAACGAAAUCUGUAAACACAUGGUCGGCCCUGACCACCAGGUCAACUACAUUAUGAGUCAGCACCCUGAUCUUUUGUAUUUCUGGCCGGAGAAUUAUCGGUUACAAUAUCCGGAUAUUGCUCUGGAGAAAUGGAUGAAAUUCGACAUUCUUAAAAGCAUUGCCCAGAUGCUCUCAGAAGGGGAGCGUUAUCUCAAGACUGAUGCGCAGAGUAUACUGCUGGGACUGGAGUUGUACGAACGUGUUCGGAACGCUUCUUUCAGUGAAGCUUUACAACUACUUAAAAACAUCAAGAGAGCGCACAAACUGAGCGUCUGCUGUCCAUCCAUCUCUAUUCCACAACGAAAGGACCGGCACCCUGAGAACCAGCACAGUCCAGAGGAAUCUCUCUUCAUGGAGCCUGCACAGACACUUGAGACGCACCAGAGAAGUGACAACGAAAUGAGCCGCCCUGACGCUCCAGGAAGAUACGAUCAGUACAACCGAAUGGCUUAUGUCGCAGAUAGACGGGCAGGUUAUUUUUCUUCUGGGGCCGUUGGAAUUUGCACAACACCAAGCUACCGUCCUGUGUACACUGGGAGUUCCUUUCAAUGUGAAGGGUACCCUGCGGGGGUGCUCCACUUCCCAAGCCAGAUUCAACCCGAGCAGGAAACAACCAGCCAAAGUCUGCAAUCUUUUGGAAACGGUUUAGCAACUCCGCUCCCGCCACAAUGGGUGAGGUUGGGAAUGCAGCAGCAGCAACUUAUGCAGCAGCAGCAGCAAUCUGCACAGCAGCAGCAACCUGUACAGCAGCAGCAACUUGCUCACCAGCAACAAUUCGUACAGCAGCAGCUAACGCGGCAGCAUUGCUUCUCGUGGACAAGUACCUCCCUGGCAGCUGGCAAUAGCAUAGUGACCAAUGAGGCUGCCUACGCAGGCGCCACGUCCUUCAACACUCCAAACAUUUCACACAAGCCAUUUUCCGAUUACGACUAUCGAAUCGCUCUAGAUUCACAGAACAGCAACAACUUGGCCAGACAGCACAACCCUCCAGGUUUUAACUGUCCUCCUGCCGCCAACACUCAAGUAGUGCCUCUGCAAACUCCUCCGCCGGAGUUUUAUUUUAAUGCAGCUCCCCCUAUGGUCGAUGGUACUCCUCCCUGA
ensembl:lncRNA